GAUGAACGCUGGCGGCGUGCCUAAUACAUGCAAGUCGAGCGAACAGACGAGGAGCUUGCUCCUCUGACGUUAGCGGCGGACGGGUGAGUAACACGUGGAUAACCUACCUAUAAGACUGGGAUAACUUCGGGAAACCGGAGCUAAUACCGGAUAAUAUAUUGAACCGCAUGGUUCAAUAGUGAAAGACGGUUUUGCUGUCACUUAUAGAUGGAUCCGCGCCGCAUUAGCUAGUUGGUAAGGUAACGGCUUACCAAGGCGACGAUGCGUAGCCGACCUGAGAGGGUGAUCGGCCACACUGGAACUGAGACACGGUCCAGACUCCUACGGGAGGCAGCAGUAGGGAAUCUUCCGCAAUGGGCGAAAGCCUGACGGAGCAACGCCGCGUGAGUGAUGAAGGUCUUCGGAUCGUAAACCUCUGUUAUUAGGGAAGAACAAAUGUGUAAGUAACUAUGCACGUCUUGACGGUACCUAAUCAGAAAGCCACGGCUAACUACGUG
rnacentral:rRNA from 1 species